rnacentral:rRNA from 1 species
UGGGGAAUUUUGGACAAUGGGCGAAAGCCUGAUCCAGCAAUGCCGCGUGUGUGAAGAAGGCCUUCGGGUUGUAAAGCACUUUUGUCCGGAAAGAAAUCCUUGGCUCUAAUACAGUCGGGGGAUGACGGUACCGGAAGAAUAAGCACCGGCUAACUACGUGCCAGCAGCCGCGGUAAUACGUAGGGUGCAAGCGUUAAUCGGAAUUACUGGGCGUAAAGCGUGCGCAGGCGGUUUGCUAAGACCGAUGUGAAAUCCCCGGGCUCAACCUGGGAACUGCAUUGGUGACUGGCAGGCUAGAGUAUGGCAGAGGGGGGUAGAAUUCCACGUGUAGCAGUGAAAUGCGUAGAGAUGUGGAGGAAUACCGAUGGCGAAGGCAGCCCCCUGGGCCAAUACUGACGCUCAUGCACGAAAGCGUGGGGAGCAAAACAGGAUUAGAUACCCUGGUAGUCCACGCCCUAAACGAUGUCAACUAGUUGUUGGGGAUUCAUUUCCUUAGUAACGUAGCUAACGCGUGAAGUUGACCGCCUGGGGAGUACGGUCGCAAGAUUAAAACUCAAAGGAAUUGACGGGGUCAUAGCUUCC